CGGUGGAUCUCUUGGCUCACGCAUCAAUAAAAAACGCAGCCAGCUGCGAUAAGUAUGUGAAUUGCAGAAUUCA
rnacentral:rRNA from 1 species